AGCACAAAAUGCCCUGCCACCCAGAGGCCACUGACUUAAAAAGGCGGACUCGGCCCUUGGCUGUGGCGGUCAUCUGGCCGUUCUCGUCCACAGAGAACUCUGCGAUGAUAUUGUCCUGCAGAAAGAGGCCCUCGGGGUCCUUCUUGGCCAUGGCGUACCAGGUCCCGGAGAACUGAGAAAGAAAGGAGAGCAAAGACAAUAUCAGAUGUGUCUCCAUGGGCCAAACUGGGAAGAAAUGAGAUGAAUUUGGAUGAAUUAGCUGCAAGCAGACCUGAAAUAAGAAGGGGUGAAGGAAGAGAAGGGUGACUGCAAAACGGAAAAAUAGAGUUGACUGGUUCUCAGACCCAGCACUUUACAGGGCGUUGGGGCUAUUUCUGAACUCCUGAAAAGACACCCAUGGCUUCCUUUACCUACCUAAAUUUUUGGACAUCUGUCUGCCUAGUUCUCUGCUUCCACUUUCUCCCUUCCCCUCAGAUCAGCUCACCAUCCCCAGCCUUAGCUGUCUCUGGGGUGCCAACGAUGAUGCAUUCAACUCCUUACUGCCCAGAACUAGGAAAGCAUGUAUCUAGGCAACCAUCCAACAUGGAGAUCUUCUGGUCAGGCCAGUUUUACCAAAUAAUUCCAAACAGCUCAAAUAGGUCUGCUGCAGAGGUCCUUCUGCAGGGACCAUGUAUGUGCCAAUACCCAUGCUUCUAGGAGUAAACAGUCAAUUAGAGACAAAAAGAAUAUUCCAACCCAGGGCCAGAAACUCUGCCAAGGACUACCCUGAUGAAGAUGAGCAGUGGAAAUAAUGAGACUGGAUCAAGGAGAGGAGAGAAGGAGAAUGAUAUUUAUGUGUGUGCUGUAAGGCAGGCUUCUAAUAUUUCCCUUUAAAAGAUUGUUGCUUUUAUAAAAUGUCAUCCAGUACUCAAAGGAGUCACCAGUUACCCCUCUUUCUUUCUUGCUUUUCCUGUCUAAUCAAUUGCCCAGUCCUGUCAUUUAUGGCCUAGAAUUGUGUCUCACAUUUUUCCAUUCUUUUUUCAUUCCCACUAGCACAACUGCAAGCACUUACCUCUAGAAUAUGGAAACAGCCUUAAAAACUUUAAUUAUUUUUCUUCAUUACCUGAACUAUGCAUGUUCAUCAUGGAUACAGCACAAAAAUCAGGUAAUCAAAAAGAAGAAAAAAUUAAGAUCUUGAAUCUCACCACUUAGAGAUAAUUGUUAAUAUUUUAGUAUAUAUAUGUAUCUCCAGGUUUGUAUAUAAAUUUUACACACACAUAUAUGUUAA